ACUCCUACGGGAGGCAGCAGUGGGGAAUAUUGCACAAUGGGGGAAACCCUGAUGCAGCGACGCCGCGUGAAGGAUGAAGGCCCUCGGGUCGUAAACUUCUUUGAUUGGGGAAGAAUAAAAUGACGGUACCCAAAAAACAAGCCACGGCUAACUACGUGCCAGCAGCCGCGGUAAUACGUAGGUGGCGAGCGUUGUCCGGAAUUACUGGGUGUAAAGGGCGUGUAGGCGGGAAUACAAGUCAGAUGUGAAAUACUGCGGCUCAACCGCAGUCCUGCAUCUGAAACUGUAUUUCUUGAGUAUUGGAGAGGAAAGUGGAAUUCCACGUGUAGCGGUGAAAUGCGUAGAGAUGUGGAGGAACACCAGUGGCGAAGGCGACUUUCUGGACAAUAACUGACGCUGAGGCGCGAAAGCGUGGGGAGCAAACAGGAUUAGAAACCCUGGUAGUCC
rnacentral:rRNA from 1 species